rnacentral:rRNA from 1 species
GAUGAACGCUGGCGGCGUGCCUAAUACAUGCAAGUCGAGCGAACAGACGAGGAGCUUGCUCCUCUGACGUUAGCGGCGGACGGGUGAGUAACACGUGGAUAACCUACCUAUAAGACUGGGAUAACUUCGGGAAACCGGAGCUAAUACCGGAUAAUAUAUUGAACCGCAUGGUUCAAUAGUGAAAGACGGUUUUGCUGUCACUUAUAGAUGGAUCCGCGCCGCAUUAGCUAGUUGGUAAGGUAACGGCUUACCAAGGCAACGAUGCGUAGCCGACCUGAGAGGGUGUACGGCGACGCUGGAACUGAGACACGGGCCAGACUCCGACGGGAGGCAGCAGUAGGGAAUCUUCCGCAAUGGGCGAAAGCCUGACGGAGCAACGCCGCGUGAGUGAUGAAGGUCUUCGGAUCGUAAAACUCUGUUAUUAGGGAAGAACAAAUGUGUAAGUAACUAUGCACGUCUUGACGGUACCUAAUCAGAAAGCCACGGCUAACUACGUG